UAUAUCAUGCGUUCACAUUUUGUAGUCAUAUACAUAAGGUUGAUAUGUUACAGUCGGAUCUCAUGAGUUCACAUUUUCUAGGAAAACAACAUGUGGCUUCAUCAUGACUCACAACAGGAAACAGACAAAAGUCCGAUGGACACCUUAUGUUCGACGACCAGUCCUCGUAGCCGUCAGACGUAAGCUUAUUUCCUAGGGCCGUUAGAGCAGGCCAUCUAACAUAAGCUUAUGUCCAACGGCUCAACCCUAACAGUUGUUGUAAAUGACUCGAUAUAUGGAACAACAUGCCCACGCCGUUCCAUUCUAUUUACUCGCUCGCACUCACGCCCCCGAGACACAUAUGCUCGUGCUUGCUCCGCCGACCCUGACCUGCCCGUCGCCUCAACGUCGGCUACCCCAGCCUCGCCCAUGGCCGACUGCCCCGACAUCGACCGAUGUUGGCCGCCCUAUCCCUGACCGUGGCCCCACUCGACACAGGCCGCCCCAACCCUGUCCGCCAAUGGCCAUCUCGACGACAGUCGCCCCGGCCCCGCCCACGGUCGGCUGCUCCCACACCACCUGAUGGUGGCUACCCUAUCCCUGCCCACGGCCUCGCUCGACAUCGACCGUCCUAGCCCCACCCGACGUUGACCGCCUCGUCCUCGCCCACAUCCUCGUCUGUCGUUGGCUUCCUGCCUGACCACAACCUUCAAGAUAUCCGAAAAGAGAACGAAAGCUAAAUGAAAGAUAGUAGCUUCUUGUGCAACUUCUAUUGCAAUUUGGAACC